rnacentral:lncRNA from 1 species
CUUCCCUGUCGGCUGGGUCUCCAAGGAGGGGAGCCAGCAGCUUUUAGCCUGGUUUAGUGGCCAUCUGGGCUCUCAGGUGCCCCCUACUGAAUGUUUUCGGACCUCUGGUCCUGACGACUGCAGAGGCUCAGUGCAAUAGUCCAGGGCUCCUGAAGGAAAGCCUGGGGUCUGCCGGCAGCUAGACCCUCUGCUCUCUUACAGCCUCCCACAUACAUGGGCAGUAGGAUAAGAAUGUAGUUUUGACCCUCAGAGCUCACUGAGUGGGUUUGAGCAAGUCGCUACUCUCCCCCGAGCUUUGUUUUCCAAAAGAACCCCUGGCCCAUGAAACUGUCCACAUCACGACCUUGUGGAAGUUGGGGAGUGUAUGCAGGCAAAGGGGAGAUCUCAGCAAGUGCGGAGAGGGAGUUUGGAGACCCCAGUGGCAGGAAAGUGCUGCACAAACACACGUUCUGCCCAAGAGUGGGAGGAAUUUAAUCUUCAUACAGGAAGGAUCUUGAAGAGCAGAUUCCUUCCAUUGUUAUAA